rnacentral:tRNA from 1 species
GGCCAUAGCUCAGCUGGGAGAGCGCUACGCUGGCAGCGUAGAGGUCAGGGGUUCGAGCCCCCUUGGCUCCA